rnacentral:misc_RNA from 1 species
UCCGGCUUAUCACCGGCAGUUUCUUUAGAGUGCCCAACUAAAUGAUGGCAACUAAAGACGAGGGUUGCGCUCGUUGCGGGACUUAACCCAACAUCUCACGACACGAGCUGACGACAGCCAUGCAGCACCUGUGUCCAGGUCCCGUAAGGGAAGGAAUCCAUCUCUGAAAACCGUCCUGGCAUGUCAAACGCUGGUAAGGUGGGGAUGACGUUGAGAGUACGUCC